rnacentral:rRNA from 1 species
GAUGAACGCUGGCGGCGUGCCUAAUACAUGCAAGUCGAGCGAAUGGAUUAAGAGCUUGCUCUCAUGAAGUUAGCGGCGGACGGGUGAGUAACACGUGGGUAACCUGCCCAUAAGACUGGGAUAACUCCGGGAAACCGGGGCUAAUACCGGAUAACAUUUUGAACAGCAUGGUGCGAAAUUGAAAGGCGGCUGCGGCUGUCACUUAUGGAUGGACCCGCGUCGCAUUAGCUAGUUGGUGAGGUAACGGCUCACCAAGGCAACGAUGCGUCGCCGACCUGAGAGGGUGAUCGGCCACACUGGGACUGAGACACGGCCCAGACUCCUACGGGAGGCAGCAGUAGGGAAUCUUCCGCAAUGGACGAAAGUCUGACGGAGCAACGCCGCGUGAGUGAUGAAGGCUUUCGGGUCGUAAAACUCUGUUGUUAGGGAAGAACAAGUGCUAGUUGAAUAAGCUGGCACCUUGACGGUACCUAACCAGAAAGCCACGGCUAACUACGUGCCAGCCGCCGCCGAA